rnacentral:rRNA from 3 species
GGACUACUCGGGUAUCUAAUCCCGUUCGCUCCCCUGGCUUUCGCGCCUCAGCGUCAGUAGAGAUCCAGCAGCCCGCUUUCGCCACCGGCGUUCCUUCCGAUAUCAACGCAUUUCACCGCUCCACCGGAAGUUCCAGCUGCCCCUACCUCCCUCCAGGCCGCCCGUUUCCGGGGCACUUUUCCGGUUAAGCCGAAAGCUUUCACCCCGGACAAGACGGCCCGCCUACGCGCCCUUUAAGCCCAGUGAUUCCGAACAACGUUCGCACGGUUCGUCUUACCGCGGCUGCUGGCAC